AAGCAGAUCAAGUUAAAUUUGUUACAGCAUAAAAGAAGGUUAAAAAUUUAAUUAAAAGAAUAAAUAUUAGUAAGUUUAUAGGUAUAAUUUGUAAAUUUAUAGUUAUAUUAUCUUAUUCUUUGGUUUGAGUCCUUGAAAUUUUAAAAAUAAACUAGGAUCAGAUACCCUAUUAUUUUAAAAUAUAAAAAUUGAUUAUUUGCUCGGGUAGUACGAAUAUUAAUUAUUUAAAACUUAAAAAACUUGGCGGUGUCUUAUUUCUUUCUAGGGGAACCUGUUUUGUAAUUUGAUAGUCCGCACUAUAACUUACCUAGCUUUGUAUAAGUAUUAUGUGAUAAUAGUAUUACCGUCAGUAUACCGUCGUCGUUAGGUUAUUUUUAAGAAUAGAAAAUUAAUCAAUAAAAAUUUUAAUUAGUUUAUUUUAAUAACAAAAAAUUUAAGAUGUCAGAUCAAGGUGCAGCUUAUAGUUAGGAAAAAAUGGGUUACAGUAAAUAUUCAUUUAUGAAGUAAUUUAUGUAAUAUAAUUAUGAAAGUGGACUUAGAAGUAAUAUUAAUAAUUAGAAUAUAUUUAUGAAUUUUGUUUUGAGAUGUGCACAAAUCGCCCGUCGCUCU
rnacentral:rRNA from 1 species